rnacentral:rRNA from 1 species
UAAACUAGGAUUUAGAUACCCUAUUAUACUGCGGUUUUAACAAUAAAUAACCUUGAGUAGUAACAAUUAAUUAGUUUGAAAUUCAAAGAAUUUGGCGGUAUUCUAGUCUAGUUAGAGGAACCUGUUUUAUAAACGAUACUCCGCGUAAUAUCUUUCUUACUCUUGUUAAACCAGUAUACCGUCAUUAUUAGAUAAUUCUAUUUAUUAGAGGAAUUAUUGCAAUUGGCUCUUCAAAAAUCUUAGACCAUGGUGCUGUUAAUGAGUAAGUUUUAAUGGGUUACAAUAAAAAUUAAUUUAAUUACGGAAUCGUAAAUGAAACAAGACGAGGAAGGUGGAUUUAAUAGUAAUAAAAAAUUUAAUAUGGUUUUGUGAGAUUGGCUCUAGAAUGUGUACAUAUCGCCCGUCGCUUUCAUUUUAAGUGAGAUAAGUCGUAACAUAGUAGAUGUACUGGAAAGUGCAUA